AUGUCUAACAAGGCCAUUCUCUGUCACAUAUGUGUCCAGUGCCAUGGGUCCCUCCAUGUGUACUCUUUGGUUGGUGGUCCAGACUCCAGGAGCUCUGGGAGGGUCUGGCCUGUUAACACUGUUGUGGAGCUGGGUUACUAAACUUCAUCUCUUUCCUACAGAUGCAGACUUUGCUGCAAUGGUGGGAAGUCACAAAAAAACCCCAUUGGUCUCAGUGUGAAGAGUUGGAAGAGAAGAUACAAGACAAUUUCCUUUGAUGUUAAAGUUUUCCGAAGUGACUGCCUCACUCUUCC
rnacentral:lncRNA from 1 species